rnacentral:rRNA from 1 species
GAUGAACGCUGGCGGCGUGCCUAAUACAUGCAAGUCGAGCGAACAGACGAGGAGCUUGCUCCUCUUACGUUAGCGGCGGACGGGGGAGUAACACGUGGAGAACCUACCUAUAAGACUGGGAUAACUUCGUGAAACCGGAGCUAAUACCGGAUAAUAUAUUCAACCGCAUGGUUCAGUAGUUAAAGACGGUUUGGCUUUCACUGAUAGAUGGAUCCGCGCCGCAUUAGCUAGUUGGUAAGGUAACGGCUUACCAAGGCAACGAUGCGUAGCCGACCUGAGAGGAUGACCGGCCACACUGGAACUGAGACACGGUCCAGACUCCUACGGGAGGCAGCAGUAGGGAAUAUUCCGCAAUGGGCGCAAGCCUGACGGAGCAACGCCGCGUGAGUGAUGAAGGUCUUCGGAUCGUAAAACUCUGUUAUCAGGGAAGAACAAAUGUGUAAGUAACUAUGCACGUCUUGACGGUACCUAAUCAGAAAGCCACGGCUAACUCCGUG